GCUUAACACACGCAAGUCGAGCGGGCAUAGCAAUAUGUCAGCGGCAGACGGGUGAGUAACGCGUGGGAACGUACCUUUUGGUUCGGAACAACACAGGGAAACUUGUGCUAAUACCGGAUAAGCCCUUACGGGGAAAGAUUUAUCGCCGAAAGAUCGGCCCGCGUCUGAUUAGCUAGUUGGUGAGGUAAUGGCUCACCAAGGCGACGAUCAGUGGCUGGUCUGAGAGGAUGAUCAGCCACAUUGGGACUGAGACACGGCGCAAACUCCUACGGGAGGCAGCAGUGGGGAAUAUUGGACAAUGGGCGCAAGCCUGAUCCAGCCAUGCCGCGUGAGUGAUGAAGGCCCUAGGGUUGUAAAGCUCUUUUGUGCGGGAAGAUAAUGACGGUACCGCAAGAAUAAGCCCCGGCUAACUUCGUGCCAGCAGCCGCGGUAAUACGAAGGGGGCUAGCGUUGCUCGGAAUCACUGGGCGUAAAGGGUGCGUAGGCGGGUCUUUAAGUCAGGGGUGAAAUCCUGGAGCUCAACUCCAGAACUGCCUUUGAUACUGAAGAUCUUGAGUUC
rnacentral:rRNA from 1 species